CACGUCAACGCGAGUUGCUGACGUGGCAGCAAAUCGCGUCCUUGAGGGCGAGAUUUGUUGCCACGUCAGCAACUCGCGCUGACCUGG
rfam:Gossypium raimondii Chr11_contig_619, whole genome shotgun sequence.